AACGAACGCUGGCGGCAGGCUUAACACAUGCAAGUCGAGCGCCCCGCAAGGGGAGCGGCAGACGGGUGAGUAACACGUGGGGAUCUGCCCAAUGGUACGGAAUAGCUCCGGAAAACUGGAAAUAAUACCGUAUGUGCCCGCAAGGGGAAAGAUUUAUCGCCAUUGGAUGAACCCGCGUCGGAUUAGCUAGUUGGUGAGGUAAAGGCUCACCAAGGCGACGAUCCGUAGCUGGUCUGAGAGGAUGAUCAGCCACACUGGGACUGAGACACGGCCCAGACUCCUACGGGAGGCAGCAGUGGGAAAUAUUGGACAAUGGGCGCAAGCCUGAUCCAGCCAUGCCGCGUGAGUGAUGAAGGCCUUAGGGUUGUAAAGCUCUUUCGCCGACGAAGAUAAUGACGGUAGUCGGAGAAGAAGCCCCGGCUAACUUCGUGCCAGCCGCCGCAGUAACAC
rnacentral:rRNA from 1 species